rnacentral:tRNA from 1 species
UGGUGCGUAGCUCAAUUGGUAGAGCAGCGGUCUCCAAAGCCGCCGGUUACAGGUUCGAGUCCUGUCGCAUCAG